CGGGCAGCUUCCCGGAGAACCAAAGCUUUUGGGUUCCGGGGGAAGUAUGGUUGCAAAGCUGAAAACUUAAAGGAAUUGACGGAAGGGCACCACCAGGAAUGGAGCCUGCGGCUUAAUUUGACUCAACACGGGAAAACUUACCCGGCCCGGACACAGGAAGGAUUGACAGAUUAAGAGCUCUUUCUUGAUUCUGUGGGUGGUGGUGCAUGGCCGUUCUUAGUUGGUGGAGCGAUUUGUCUGGUUAAUUCCGAUAACGAACGAGACUCUAGCCUACUAAAUAGACGUCCCGGUCCACUCUGCCGGGCGUUCUUCUUAGAGGGACAAGCGGCGUUUAGCCGCACGAGACAGAGCAAUAACAGGUCUGUGAUGCCCUUAGAUGUCCGGGGCCGCACGCGCGCUACAUUGAAGGAAUCAGCGUGUGCUUUCCCUGUCCGACAGGACUGGGUAACCCGUUGAACCUCCUUCGUGCUGGGGAUAGGAAAUUGUAAUUGUUUUCCUUGAACGAGGAAUUCCCAGUAAGCACGAGUCAUCAGCUCGUGUUGAUUACGUCCCUGCCCUUUGUACACACCGCCCGUCGCUACUACCGAUUGAAUGAUUUAGUGAGGUCUUCGGACUGGCGCUCGGAGCGGCCUUCGGGUCGCGCCGGCGUGCCGGAAAGAUGACCAAACUUGAUCACU
rnacentral:rRNA from 1 species